GGGAGAACAGAAAUCGUAGAAACCCUCAGGCAUCCAGGGAGAGAAAGAUGAGAAGCUGAAAGGAAAACAAUGAGUACAGUUGUAGCACAUGGUCCUCUAAUAUGUUUCAUGCCCAUGAAAUUUAGUAAAGGUUUGCGGCAGGAAUUUUCCAAUUCGAAGUUUUCCUUGAGCAACAGCAACCCUUUAAUUUUCAGGUGCUGCUCCAACAAAGAUGAGAAAUCCCAGGAAUCUCAGAUGAAUCCUUAAAGAUGACUUGGAAUUAGUCUUUUAUGCUGCUUCCUGCCGAAUUGAUAUAAUGUCAACCUUGUGAGUUGUACAAGACCCAAAAGCACUUAUCUCGUGCAAUAAAACAAACAUGCUCCAGAGUGUCAAAGGCAAGAGGUCCUGCACAUGACUAUAUACUAGUCUAAUUUAUUGAUUCUCCAAAAUGGUGAUAGUUCUUAAAGCAUGGUUUGUUUCUUCAAUGGAAUCAAGUGUACAUGAAGCUGUAUCAUCAAGAUUCUGUGAUGGUUUUGCUUUGAUGCCUUAUGCUUACUUGGAGGCUGUCAACUUUUUCUCCUUCAAGGAUGAAUAAAUUUAGCACUUGAUGUUUAAAAGAAAAAGGGUUUCUCGGUGCUUAAGAAGGACGUUGAAUGUGAUAGAGGGAUAAUAUAUAGCACUAUGGCAUUCUAUGUCUUCAGUUUGCAUAUUCCAUUAAGUUUUGGCGGGCUGGCUAUAGUUGCCACCAUAUUGCAUCAACAAGUUAUUGAGCCACAGACUGAGGUGUUGGCAUUACUUGGUCUUGAAAUUUUAGAGUUCAUUGGUUUUGUCUUGCUGCUGAAACGCCCUGGGGAGCCCCAGUACAAGCUUCUUGACUUAUUCCAAGUUAACGAGUUAGCAGGAGAAAGAAGCUGGUUGCUGGCAUCACUGAUUGGUUUUUUGUUCCUUUUGUUCUUGGUGCUGGUAACAUCACUUAUUGCUGAUCAAUUUCUGGGGACUAAGGAGGUAAACAAUCCAAUACUGCAAGCACUCCUCUCAAGCGGCUCAAUCUCUGUUACAGCUUGCAUUCUUGUCUACUGCAUUGUCACUCCCUUCCUGGAAGAGAUUGUCUACAGAGGGUAUUUGCUGACUUCUCUUUCCUGCACUAUGAAGUGGCAGCAAGCCGUUCUGCUGAGUUCUUUGCUUUUCAGUGCAUCUCACUUCUCUGCUGAGAAUUUCCUGCAGUUAUUCGUUAUUGGCUGUGUCCUUGGAUGCUCUUAUUGUUGGUCUGGGAACCUUAGUUCAUCUGUCCUCGUACACUCGUUGUACAAUGCCUUCAUCCUCUACAUAACCUAUAUUUCUUGAAUAUUGAUGCUGAUUCUGCGCGUUCCUUCUACUUAUUUGGACAAAUUAUCUACCUUUUAUGGAUUCCGUUUACAAUGACAACUAAUUAUUGCUUGUCCUCUCAGCUUUACAGAGAAGCCUCGGGCCGCAGAAUAGACAUCUCCUGUCCACUAUGGAUGCUGCUGAUUUUUAGUGGGAAAGACAUCUCAUACUCAAUAUGCCCUUUUGCUGGGGAAAAAAAAAAGGGUUGUCUCAGGAGCUCGCUUUUUAUGGAGCAUUGCAUAAUCAAUUAACAUACAGUUCUAGGAGGGAAAAGCAAAUUGAGAUUUUUUCAUUGAAUAAUCUCUAACCCUUCAGUUCUUAAGGGACUCGAACGUCAAUCUGCAAAGUUUGCUUGGUAGGUCAAUCUAUUCAUGCCAAUCAUUGUCAGUGGUUCUGCAAUCCAUAUUCACAUUCUCCAGGACAUGUGAUACCUGAAAAUUACACCUGAAGAGAAAAGGCCCACUUGAGCCAGUACAAUUUUGGACCCCUUCCUUCAUACAAAUUGGAUAAGGCAACCAUGUUUAGCUAGUCCAUAACAUUUCAGAGCCCUUUGCAGCUUCUGCAGGUAAUUGGUUGGAGGAUUGCUGCUUGGCCACCUGGUAUCUGCUGUUCUCCUUUUCAUUUUGAUAGAAUCCACAUGGAUACUCUUGGAGUAUAAACUAAGUUUAUUGACUCAAAAACACAUGGAAGAUGGUGCAUGAUCAAAGCAUAACCAAGCAGGUAGUCGGCUAAUUCAAAUCAUUCAAAUGAUUUCAAACUGAAAGUAACAUGGUGGAGAUUCCUUUUGGUUUCUUAAGACUAUAAAGUUUUUGGCUUUUCUCUGUUUUUGAGUUUCUUUGCUUGAAGAAAGCACAAGCUAUUGCUUUACCUUCUGAGUUAGAAUACAAAAUCUGGAAGACAAUAAUAGGCUUAGAGGCUUCUAUUUUCAGGAGCAAGUCACAUUCUUGUUGAUGUGUUAUGCAAGAAAAAUGGAGGAAUCAUUCAAUAGCUUUGGCUAAAAUGUGAAAGCUAUAGAGGGAAACCUACCAUCUUGAGCAAUGAAAGCAAUUAAAGUUGCAUUU